AUUGUUUACAACGGCUAUUGGGGUGAGCUGUUAACGAUCUAUUUUGCAAGCGGAUGGAUUUUGCUGAAUUUACCUGCGGUUCCAUUGCCGUAUCCACAAAUUACGUCCAUCGGAUGGAAGAACAAUUGAGAGAAGGAGGAUUUCGUGCGAAUCUUAUCAGCUGGGGAAUGAAACCUGAUACGGUGACCCACCAGAGAUCAAAUACAACAAACGACAGCUAUACAGAUCAACCACCCGAUCGAACGACCAGAUCGUUUCAACGGCU